UGAAGAAAAAAGCAUAUUUCUUUUGUCCACUGCUUUCUUAUCUCCACUCAUAUCUUGUCUUCAAUCAGAUCACUUCCAUCUUAUUUCCACUAAUCUUAUUUACAUACAUUCAUAGCAUACACACCAAUUACUCCCAAUCCAAUUUCCAGUUUACGUUUUCACUGUUAACAAUGGCUGAAGCCGCUGCUGCUGCCCUGAUCAAAGUCAUUUUUGAGAAGCUAGCCGUUGAAGCCUUCAAGAAAUAUGCUCGCUCUCAGAAUAUCCACUCCGAGCUCAAGCAAUUGGGGAUCACGUUGUCCCAUAUCCAAGCUCUGCUUAACGAUGCUUCUCACAAGGAAAUAACUCAUGAAUCUGUCAGACUAUGGCUCACUAGUCUCCAACAUUUGGCUUACGAUAUCGAUGACGUACUCGACGAUGUGGCUACUGAAGCAAUCAAUCGUGAGCUGAACCCGGAAUCAGAAGCAAGCACCAGCAUGGUAAGAAAGCUCAUCCCAACUUGCUGCACAAACUUCUCACUAAGUCAUAGGUUGUCUCCUAAGUUAGAUAGUAUUACCACCCAGUUACAACAUCUAGAAAAACAAAAGGGUGAUCUGGGUUUAAUUGUAAAAGAUGAAAAGCCAAAAAAUACUAGUAGAAGAAACGAAACAUCUUUGCUAGAAUCUGAUGUUGUUGGACGAGAAGGUGAGAGAGAGAAGUUGAUCAACAAGUUGUUACAAGAUGAGCCAUCUAAGGAAAACUUUAUUAUCGUACCCAUAGUUGGUAUGGGUGGGGUGGGUAAGACCACUAUGGCUAGAAUAUUGUAUAACGAUACACGAGUGAGGGAUCACUUUAAACUCAAGGCAUGGGUUUGUGUAUCCGAUGAGUUUGAUAUAUUUAAAAUAAGUGAAACUAUAUAUCAAUCUGUGGCUAAAAAAAGCAAACAAUUUAAAUAUUUAAAUCAGCUUCAAGUUGCUCUUGGAGAAGAACUUAAGGACAAGCGAUUUCUAGUAGUAUUCGAUGAUGUGUGGAAUGAAAACUAUGACGACUGGGAAAACCUAGUGCGUCCAUUUCAUUCUAGGGCUACUGGAAGUAGGGUAAUCAUUACAACUCGCUAGCAACAACUGCUUAAAAAGAUAGGUUUUAAUCAUCUAGACCAUCUUGAGAGUUUGUCGCAUGAUGACGCUUUAUCUUUAUUUGCUUUACAUGCAUUGGGUGUAGUUAACUUUCACUUACAUGCAACACUUAAAGCACAAGCGGAAGGUAUUGUAAAAAAGUGUAGUGGUUUGCCUUUAGCUAUAAAGGCAAUUGGAAGGUUAAUGAGGACAAAAACCGAAAGAGAAGAAUGGAAUGACGUGUUGAACAGUGAGAUAUGGAAUUUAGAAAAUGCUAAUGAAAUUGUACCAGCCCUUAGGCUAAGCUACCAUGAUCUUUCUGCUGAUUCGAAGCGCUUGUUUGCAUAUUGCUCUUUGUUCCCAAAGGACUUUUUGUUUGACAAGGAGGAGUUGAUAUUAUUAUGGAUAGCUGAAGGUUAUCUGAACGAGUCAACUGCAAACAAGUCACCAGAACGUUUGGGCCAUGAAUAUUUUGAGAAAUUGCUCUCAAGGUCCUUUUUUCAACCAGCACCUAAUGACGAAUCUUUUUUUGUGAUGCAUGAUCUCAUGAACGACUUAGCCACAUUUGUUGCUGGAGAAUAUUUUUUAAGGUUUGACAAUCAGACGGAGAUGGCAGAGGAAGCUUUAGCCAAGUACCGACAUAUGUCAUUUAUGCGUGAGAACUAUGUAGGUUUCCAGAAGUUCGAGGCAUUUCAAAGAGCAAGAAGUUUGAGAACAUUGUUAGCCGUACAUGUUGGGGCGGAAACAAGAUGGAGUGAGUUUUACUUAUCCAAUAAGAUUCUGGUUGACUUACUUCCUCAGUUACCACUGUUAAGGGUUCUUUCUUUGAGGCGUUUUAAGAUAAGUGAGGUACCGGAUUCUAUUUGUUGUUUGAAACACUUGAGAUAUCUUAAUUUGUCUGAAACAAGAAUCUCAAAGUUACCAGAGAAUGUUGGUAAUCUUUAUAAUUUACUAACAUUGAUAGUUUUUGGAUGUAAGAUAUUGACCAAGUUGCCUAAAAGCUUCUUGAAGCUGAAAAAGUUAAGGCAUUUUGACAUCAGGAACACUCCACUUUUAGAGAAGUUGCCCUCAGGGAUUGGUGAGUUAAGAAACCUUCAAACUCUCACCAAGAUUGUCGUUGGAGGAGAUGGUGAGUUUGCAAUAACCGAGCUUAAGGGAUUAAAGGAUAUCCAUGGGGAAAUUUCCAUUGAGGGGUUGAACAAAGUGCAAAGCUCAAUGCAUGCACGAGAGGCAAAUUUAUCUUUAAAAAGGAUUAAUAAGUUAGUGUUAAAAUGGGAUGAUGGUUCUAGAAGGGAAACACUUGAUAAGGAGGUUCUCAAUGAGUUAAAGCCCAAUAGUGAUCAGUUGAUAAUGCUUGUGGUUAAGUCUUAUAAGGGAAUAGAGUUUCCAAAUUGGGUUGGGGAUCCGUCUUUUAAUCAACUGGUCCAUGUGUCGCUACACGGUUGUAGAAAAUGUAAAUCUCUACCGCCACUUGGGAAGCUACCUUCACUUAAGGAGUUGUCGAUUCAAGGCAUGGAUGAGGUUAAAGUCAUAGAUUUGGAGUUAACCAGGACUAAUGAUGUUCCCUUCUCCUCACUUGAAAUUCUAAGGUUUGAAGAUAUGUCGAGUUGGGAGGUAUGGUCAACCAAUAGCGAGGUAAUCUUUCCAUGCCUUCAAGAGCUUCAAAUAAAAAAAUGCCCCAAUUUGAGUGAUGUCUCGCUUGAAGCAUUACCUUCACUAAGAGUAUUAAAAAUAGAUGGAUGUUGUGAAAGUGGGCUGAGAAGUUUGGUUCGAGCAGCAUGGGCGGUUGAAGAACUAAGCAUAUUUAAUUGUAAUGAAAUUAGAUAUUCGUGGGAAUCAGAGGCAAAGGCAAGUAAAGUUCUUGUAAAUUUAAAGAAAUUGCAGGUAUAUUAUUGUAAAAAUUUGGUGAGUUUAGGAGAGAAAGAGGAGGAUGAGGAUAACAUUGGGAUCAAACUCCUAUCAUCUCUUAGGAAGUUGGAGAUACAGUCAUGUGAUAGUAUGGAGCGUUUGUUUUGUCCAAAUAGCAUUGAAAGUUUAGUUAUCAGUGAUUGUAUGCCCUCCUCCACCUGUUGUUGUUGCCUUUGAGAAGCAGACAUCUAUAUCUAUAACUUUAAGCAUUGGCAUGCUUGUGAUUGUAUGCCCUCCAACAUCUCACAGCCCUUCAACAUCUCUCCAUUUGCGGAUGCCCGCAGAUGAUCCAUCUACCAGAAACACUGUUGCCAUCACUUUUGAGUUUUAGAAUAUAUGAAGAAUGCCCAAAAUUGAAAGAAAGGUGUGCAGGAAGAGGCUCACACUACUGGCCUCUCAUCUCUCAUAUCCCGUGCAUCCAAAUAGAAGACUCUCAGGACAGUGAUUGAACCCAAGCUGUCGUUUGCAAAAGAGAUUUCUUGCUACGAAGCAACCACCCUCGACCCCAUCUUCACGUCCUAGCGGGUUUCUGAUACCACCACAACCCACGUCGUUAUGUUUUCCCGCGACACGUCAUCGACAACUGCUCACACCCUCAAGCAAGAACAGCCGAUGUAGAUUAACAAGAUCAACAUAUUGACAUCAAAAACCUUUCAGUUUUCGAAUUCUACAUUGCUUUGGAAUGGGAAACAAAAGUUCUGCCCCCCAAAAAACUGGUUUCUUCCAAUCAAUCACAGGGGGUGGGGGUAAGAAAACCCGGCCACGGUCGAACACAAAGAAAAGCCGAAAGAGUCGGUCCAAAGGCUCCGAAGUGCCACCCGAAGCCGGUUGUGCUAAUGUUCUAACGGUAUUGCAAACAAAAACCGGGAACAUAAAGGAGUUAUACACAUUAGGAAGAGAAUUAGGCCACGGACAGUUUGGGACGACGGUUUUAUGCACUGAGAAGAGUACCGGGGAUGAGUAUGCGUGUAAAAUAAUCCCGAAGAGAAGAUUGGUGUUGCAGGAGGAGAUAGAAGAUGUUAGGAGUGAAAUUCAGAUAAUGCACCAUAUGGCGGGUCACCCGAAUGUGAUAUCGAUUGUGGGUGCUUAUGAAGAUGCGGUUUCGGUUUAUGUAGUUAUGGAGCUUUGUGCUGGAGGAGAGUUGUUUGAUCGGAUUAUUGAAAGAGGGCAUUAUACGGAGAAGAAAGCAGCUGAUCUUUCGCGUGUUAUUGUUGGGGUGGUGGAGGCUUGCCAUAGUUUAGGAGUUAUGCAUCGGGAUUUAAAGCCGGAAAAUUUUCUUUUUGUUAAUGAGACAGAAGAUUCGCCUCUCAAAUCGAUAGAUUUUGGGCUGUCAGCAUUUUUUAAACCAGGUGAAAUCUUCUACGAUACGCUUGGGAGCGCAUAUUAUAUGGCACCCGAGGUGCUAAAAAAGCAUUAUGAUAACCUAUGUGAUGUUUGGAGUGCUGGUGUGAUCAUAUACAUCUUACUAUGUGGUGUUCCACCUUUUUGGGAUGAAACUGAAGAGGGGGUGUAUGAACAGGUGUUGGAAGGUGAACUUGACCUUGAAACGGAGCCAUGGCCAAGAAUAUCCGAAAGCGCAAAAGAUCUUAUUAGAGGAAUGCUUGUUAGAGAUGUCAGCAAGAGAUUGACAGCACAUGACGUCCUAAGCUGAUGGUGUGGCACCAGAUAAUCCUCUUGAUUCUGCUGUCUUAACACGCUUGAAGCAAUUCUCCGCCAUGAACAAGAUCAAGAAAAUAGCUAUAAAUGUUAUUGCUAUGAGUCUAUCUGAGGAGGAAAUUGCAGGCUUAAAAGAAAUGUUCAAGAUGAUGGACACUGAUGGAAGUAAUCAAAUCACAUUAGAAGAGUUAAAAAACGGGUUGGAAAAAGUUGGUGCCAAUAUUAAAGAUGCGGAAAUGACAAGAUUAAUGGAAGCGGCGGAUAUUGACAACAGUGGUACGAUAGAUUAUGGCGAGUUUAUAUCAGCAAUGUUGCAUUUAAACAAAGUCCAGAAAGAGGAUCAUCUGCUUGCUGCUUUCUCAUAUUUUGACAAAGACGGUAGUGGAUACAUCACUACAGAAGAACUUCAUCAAGCGUGUGAGAAGUUCGGUUUGAGUGAUAUACCUCUUGAUGAGGUUAUGGAUGAAAUCGACAAGGAUAAUGAUGGGAGGAUUGAUUAUAGUGAAUUUGUAGAUAUGAUGGAAGAGAGUGAUUUCGGAAAGAACAUCAAGCCCGGAGCAGGGGAGGAUCUUAGUUAGGGCCAGGGGGAGCCCCGGCCCCCUCUGUUAUUUCGCUUUGAAGUGUAAAUUUUAUAUGUAUCAGAACCCCCCCUCCCUAGUUUUUCCUUUAAAAUUUUCCGGCCCCUCCUAUUUAUAAGUUCAAGAUCCGCCACUAGCCCGGAAGCUAAUGCUGUCAAGAUUUGUAUUUCUGAUCUAUUGUUAGGCUGUUUUUUUAAUAACUUUGGUUCUUCUGGAUCCUGGUUUGUGUUUUGACAGUUAUUCUGCUGUAACAGUUUAAAUGAAUUUGACAGAAUACUUGUUUGAA